rnacentral:lncRNA from 1 species
AGAGCACAGAAUUUAUUGAACAUAAUACGGCAGACAGCUCAUACAAAAGUGUAUGCCUCGGCAAGAACAGGUUUCAUCGGACAGACCCAGAACAUGUGAGAACAUGCUGUGAACAGCUCUUUCAAUCUGGACACUGCACAAAUACAUCUCCUUCCCUCUGGGAAACGUAAAGUCAGCCAUAAAACUGCAAAUUUAUUACAUAUCAGAUAACCAAAAUGUAUAAUGCUAAAGAACCCUUUCCUGCACUGACUUUUUAAAUGAGUUCCAUGUCAAAACAGGAAAUACAAAAAGGAAAAAUUAUGAAAACUACAGCAUUCUGCGACUUCUCUUAAAAUACUCAAUUCCUAAAAUGUUAACAGCGUACACGGAAGUCACGAUCACACAUCACAAACUGCAGAGAUCUUUUUUCAAGAUACGGAAAAAGAUGUAAAGCAGGUCAGGGACAAUAUGCAUUACCGAAGCUACUUCUUUUAUUUGAAAGGAGAGAAGAGAUGAAGGGAACAUUUAAAUAGAUCAUUUUGAGUUUCUUAUAGGAAGUUCCGAAUGACAGCAGCUUAUAAAUGAAUAGAAGGCAGGAAGGCAGGCAGGCGCUCCUAACAGGAAUGAGGACCAAAUGUACUUUGCAUUUCUCUAUGUAUGAACUUGAAUCCCAUACUUAGGCUGCUUACGAAUGAAAAAUAUAAAAUUGAAAGCAUAUCAACUAAUUUCUCAGCACCCCUGCAGUAUCUAACAUACAGAAGGUACACACAGUUUCAGUAUCAGACAAUAAAUUCUGACCUUUGAAUCCAAGUUAAAAGAUUCAAUGGGGAAAAAAAUUAAAUGAAUGCCACCCUAAAGGGUUCACAGCUGAAUUUAGUUUACUUCUAAAAAAACAACAUAAAGAGGGGCAUGCAGGAUGCCUGUUCACGAAAGGAACCGGGCCCUUCUGUACUGCAAGACAAGGGGCAAGAUGACGCUCAUCUUCAGAACAGCUCUGCAUUCUUGUCAGCACUCGGGCUUAAUGAGACUGUGUUAAGAGAUCUGAUCAGUCUCCCUGAGCUGGUGUCUCCUGAAGGGAAAUAGAAAACAGGUAAGCAGAUGUGGCUUUGCGCGCCCGCUGCUGCUCCACCUGCAGAAGCUGGGCCACGCUCCUGAGGCUCAUCAGAAUGCAAGAGGGAGUGAGCGUCCAUCCUGCACCCACCUCCAUUAGCAAAAUGAUGGAACCCACAUCAGCCCGCUGCUGCAAUAAAGCAACUGUAACGGGCAUUGUUACAGGAUCAAUGUUUCCUGGUUUGAAAAUAAACAUCAGCAUUUAUCUAGCAGCAGCGGGCGAUGCUCCCACAGCACUGUUUUAUUCAACUGACAUCUUUUAAUCAGAGCAACCAUAUUGUGGCAACAUUCCAAGGUAUCAUAAUUGCAAAUAUUUAUGGCAAGUUGGAUAAUAGCUAUAAUUUUUUUGCUAGCUUUUUCCUUUUCUACGGAUUUGAUGCAGACAUUUUCUAAUGAGUUAAUUCCAUUAAGAAAAAAAAAAUCUAAAGUAAUUAUAUUCGAGACAACCUCUCAUCCGCUUCCCCUGGCUUCGCUUUUAAUGAUAACACAUAGCUGUUUAUGUGUGCUUGUGUCUUUUUUAAUUUUUCAAAAUACCUCCAUAAUACAAAUAAACUAAAACAAAACCUCUGUUUUUAAGUGCGUAGAUAUGGCAACAAGCACCCCCACCACCAUCAGGGAG